rnacentral:rRNA from 1 species
UCCAUGCCGUAAACGAUGAACACUAGGUGUAGCGGAUCAAUUCAUGUCUGCUGUGCCGUAGCUAACGCAUUAAGUGUUCCGCCUGGGGAGUACGGCCGCAAGGCUAAAACUCAAAGGAAUUGACGGGGCCCCGCACAAGCGGCGGAGCAUGCGGCUUAAUUCGAUGCAACCCGAAGAACCUUACCUGGGUUUGACAUCAUGGGUCCAGCUGUGGAAAACACAGUGUGCUAACG